rnacentral:rRNA from 1 species
AUUGAACGCUGGCGGCAUGCCUUACACAUGCAAGUCGAACGGCAGCACGGGAGCAAUCCUGGUGGCGAGUGGCGAACGGGUGAGUAAAGUAUCGGAACGUGCCCAGUCGUGGGGGAUAACGUAGCGAAAGUUACGCUAAUACCGCAUACGAUCUAUGGAUGAAAGCGGGGGAUCGCAAGACCUCGCGCGAUUGGAGCGGCCGAUAUCAGAUUAGGUAGUUGGUGGGGUAAAGGCUCACCAAGCCGACGAUCUGUAGCUGGUCUGAGGGGACGACCAGACACACUGGGACUGAGACACGGCCCAGACUCCUACGGGAGGCAGCAGUGGGGAAUUUUGGACAAUGGGCGAAAGCCUGAUCCAGCCAUGCCGCGUGCAGGAUGAAGGCCUUCGGGUUGUAAACUGCUUUUGUACGGAACGAAAAGGUUUGGCCUAAUAAGCUGAGCUCAUGACGGUACCGUAAGAAUAAGCACCGGCUAACUCCGUGCCAGCCGCCGCGGUAA